rnacentral:rRNA from 1 species
AGCUAUAUGUUUUUAUAUUUAGUUUUUUCUGCCACGUGAUUAUUUAACGGCCGCAGUACUUUGACUGUGCUAAGGUAGCAUAAUCAAUUGACUUUUAAUUGAAGUCUGGAAUGAAUGAAAAAUUGGGGAAAUUCUGUCUUUUAAAUAAUUUUAAAAAAUUACUUUUAAGGUGAAAAUACCUUAAAUUUUAAAAAAGACGAGAAGACCCUUAGAGUUUUUUUGUUGGGGUGACAUUUAAGCAAACCUUAUUUUCUGGAAAAUUAAACUACCUUAGGGAUAACAGCAUAAUUUUCUAAAAAGAUUGUGACCUCGAUGUUGGACUAGGAAAUUUAUAAUUAGAAAUUAAAAUUAAUGGUUCUGUUCGAACUUAUUCUCCU